UACGUAGGGGGCAAGCGUUGUCCGGAAUUAUUGGGCGUAAAGAGCGCGUAGGCGGUCCGGUAAGUCGGUUGUGAAAGUCGGGGGCUCAACCCUCGGAUGCCGAUCGAUACUGUCGGGCUAGAGUGCGGAAGAGGCGAGUGGAAUUCCUGGUGUAGCGGUGAAAUGCGCAGAUAUCAGGAGGAACACCUAUUGCGAAGGCAGCUCGCUGGGACGUUACUGACGCUGAGACGCGAAAGCGUGGGGAGCAAACAGG
rnacentral:rRNA from 1 species